UGCUUUACACAUGCAAGUCGAACGGUAGAGGGGGCAACCCCUUGAGAGUGGCGAACGGGUGAGUAAUGCAUCGGAACGUGCCCAGUCGUGGGGGAUAACUACUCGAAAGAGUGGCUAAUACCGCAUACGACCUGAGGGUGAAAGCGGGGGACCGAAAGGCCUCGCGCGAUUGGAGCGGCCGAUGUCAGAUUAGGUAGUUGGUGGGGUAAAGGCCUACCAGGCCUGCGAUCUGUAGCUGGUCUGAGAGGACGACCAGCCACACUGGGACUGAGACACGGCCCAGACUCCUACGGGAGGCAGCAGUGGGGAAUUUUGGACAAUGGGCGCAAGCCUGAUCCAGCCAUGCCGCGUGAGUGAAGAAGGCCUUCGGGUUGUAAAGCUC
rnacentral:rRNA from 1 species